UACGUAGGGCGCAAGCGUUAUCCGGAAUUAUUGGGCGUAAAGAGCUCGUAGGCGGUUUUGUCGCGUCUGCCCGUGAAAAGUCCGGGGGCUCAACUCCGGAUCUGCGGGGGUACGGGGCAGACUAGAGUGAUGUAGGGGAGACUGGAAUUCCUGGUGUAGCGGUGAAAAUGCGCAGAUAUCAGGAGGAACACCGAUGGCGAAGGCAGGUCUCUGGGCAUUAACUGACGCUGAGGAGCGAAAGCAUGGGGAGCGAACAGG
rnacentral:rRNA from 1 species